rnacentral:rRNA from 1 species
CAUGACUGACGCUCAUGCACGAAAGCGUGGGUAUCGAACAGGAUUAGAUACCCUGGUAGUCCACGCGGUAAACGAUGAUAACUAGUUAUCCGGGGAGAUUGGUCCUUGGGUGACCGAGCGAAAGCGUUAAGUUAUCCACCUGGGGAGUACGCCGGCAACGGUGAAACUCAAAGGAAUUGACGGGGGCCCGCACAAGCGGAGGAACAUGUGGUUUAAUUCGAUGAUACGCGAGGAACCUUACCCGGGCUCAAACGCAUGGCGCAAGACCCUGAAAGGGGUUGUUCUUCGGACGUCAUGCGAGGUGCUGCAUGGUUGUCGUCAGCUCGUGCCGUGAGGUGUCGGCUUAAGUGCCAUAACGAGCGCAACCCCCAUCUUCAGUUGCCCCCGGGUGAAGCCGGGCACUCUGGAGAGACUGCCGGCGCAAGCUGCGAGGAAGGCGGGGAUGACGUCAAAUCAGCACGGCCCUUACGUCCGGGGCGACACACGUGUUACAAUGGCGGGGCACAGCGGGAAGCCAGGUGGCGACACCGAGCUGAUCCCGAAAACCCGUCUCAGUUCGGAUCGGAGUCUGCAACCCGACUCCGUGAAGCUGGAUUCGCUA